GACGAACGCUGGCGGCGUGCUUAACACAUGCAAGUCGAACGAUGAAGCGGGUGCUUGCCCUCGUGGAUUAGUGGCGAACGGGCGAGUAACACGUGAGUAACCUGUCCUUUUCUUUGGGAUAACGGCUGGAAACGGCUGCUAAUACUGGAUAUUCAGGCUGCAUCGCAUGGUGUGGUUUGGAAAGGUUUUUUCUGGGAUUGGGUGGGCUCGCGGCCUAUCAGCUUGUUGGUGGGGUGAUGGCUUACCAAGGCUUUGACGGGUAGCCGGCCUGAGAGGGUGGUCGGUCGCACUGGGACUGAGAUACGGCCCAGACUCCUACGGGAGGCAGCAGUGGGGAAUAUUGCACAAUGGACGAAAGUUUGAGGCAGCGACGCCGCGUGGAGGGUGUAGGCCUUCGGGUUGUGAACUCCUUUUUCUCGCGAAAAAGGCACAGUUUUGGCUGUGUUGAUGGUAGUGGGGGAAGAAGCGCCGGCUAACUACGU
rnacentral:rRNA from 1 species